rnacentral:lncRNA from 1 species
UGAUGAGUCAAGACCAUUGCAAUUGGAAAUCUGUUCUCCUCUGCUGCUGCAUCCCCCGCUUAAUACUCAAGCCAGAAACCAGGAAGGCUGUGGCUUGCCUUUUCACUUCUUGUGUCCUGUUUAAGAAAUAUCUGCUAUCCCAAGCAUCUGGCAUCUUUCUUGACAUACGUAGCAGUUGCUUUUUGACAGCUUGCUUCUGGAGUGAAUGAAUAAAUUAAUAAAUUUAUUCAUUUGAUAUUCAGUGACAUGUGAUAUUCAGUGAUCCAUUUUGCAGAUAACACUAACAAAGUUGACCUUAGAAUUGGAGUGCCCGGGUUAGAACCUUGCUGGUACCACCUGCUUACUGCAUGCUUCUGAUGUGAGUUCAGGAGAAGCCACUGGCAAGGACAGCAAAGAACAGGAGAACACUCUAGCUUCCCUGAUAGCAUUCAAGGUGCUGUCCAAAGCUCUUGAGUUUCUGCUUUCAAGUGACCCUCAGAAAUGCCCCCAUUCACUGCAGAGGUUCUGUUUCUCCUUGUUUUGUUCCGACUUUAUGGCAGAACUAGGUUAAUGAGUUAAUUACUAUGAGUUAUCACUUGGAUUUGAAGAACCAUCAUUUCUAGGCUUUGCUGCUCAGAGUGGGUUUGCCCUCAGGGGAAGCUAUCUAACCAGAGCCUAACCCACUAGGGUUUUAUCAGAACCUAACUGGCCUGAGGAAAAGAAAUAUUCAACUCCAGCAAGCUCCAGCCUUCCAAACGGAGGAGGAGAAAACCCAAAUCCAGCCCACUUCAGCUAUCUUGUCCCACAUAAAGGGGGAGUGGAAGAAACGUGAGAAGCAGGCAUGAAGUUCACAGUCCGGAGUGUAUUCCACACCAUUUCAUAUUCCAUCACAUUCCAUUCUACACAAUUCCACAUCUCCCCGGCCACGUCAGCCUGAGAGUAAUAAACAGGCCUUGCCAUCGUAUCCCCUUUUGGAGACACAAGCCAGGAAGGAAGCUCUUCAGUGCAGCUGUGAAUAGAGAAACGCUGGCUGAGGUUUUGGGGACACUGGGUGAUCAUUCCCAGUGAAAUUUUUAGAUCCCUGGGGACAUGAGCUGCUUUGUCUUUUCCAAGGUCAGGAUAAACAGAAUAGCUUCAGGCUCCUCUACCCAGAAAGAACAUGUGGCAUAAACAUCAACUGCAGAAUAAAUAUGAUUAAGCUGGCACAUGGACGAAGAUGUUUUCUAGGAGAUGCUUAUCCUGGGACGAGAGCUUUCAUAAGCAUUGAUGUUUACAUGACUCUUACUGUGUGUCAGGAACUGGUCGAAUUGUUUUACCUAUGUCAAUUCAUUUGAUAGUCACAACCACUGAAAGGGGUAAGUACUCUUAUUACUUCCAUUUUACAGAUAGGGAAACUGAGGUAUAGAGAAGUCAAGUGACUUGCCCAAGGUUAUUAAACUACUUAAUGUCAA